UGUUCGUUCACAUGGAAAUGGAAGUGCGCCGUGGCUGAGGUGGACCGGGCUUCUGAGCUGGGCCAGAAGGCUGGGCUCUGUUCCAAAUCACAAUGGACAACAUGCUAGAAUGGGCCGGAAAGUGCUCCUAUGGUUGGGCCGGAUUUUGAUGGGCCUCAAAUUAGCCCUCUCUAACAAAGGAAAGGGGAAUUCCCUAAAAAAAAAACGGGGCGGUCGUUUUUAUCCUGCGUGCCAGUCACUCGGUGGUCGGUGGCUUGGUGCAACUUUGAGACUAAUCCAUCCCUGUUUCCGUCGGGUAAGAGGAAGAAUAAUAGUGGGUUAUAAGUUGGUUAUAAGAAUUAAAAUAUUAUUUUAAUGUUUAGUUGGAGGAAAGAGAAGAUGAGAGAGAAGAGAGGUGAGCUGUUAACUAGUAGUCAGCUGCAACACGUGCUCCUAGGCACCCUGUGAGACUGUAAUGUGAGCCUGCUAUUAAUAAAGUAGUGUUUCUUAUAGCCAAAUUAUUAUACAUGGUAGCUAUUAUAUUACUUAAAGAUGACAUGGUAAUGCUUACAGCCAACAACAGGCUAUAGCUGUUAAUCUUGUUCUAAGGGCAUCUUCAAUAAGGGGUACUACACGGGUACCAAGAAGGUAGUAACCAAUGGGGAGGAAAUAUGAAUACCACAACUAAAUAGUGAUUUCUUAAAAAAAGUAAUAGUUACUACACGGAUAACAAGACAGAAAAGAGAAUAACAAGUGGGUCUAUCAAAAAACAAAAAAGUAAAAAAUAUUAAAAGUAGAGAAAAAAUUUAGUAUGGAGAUGCCCUAAGUAGCUCCUCCUGUCCCCGGGCCGGAAGCUAGCUGCCGGAUAAUUGAUGGCGCUUCACGUGGGGGAUCUACGUAGCUCUCGCCUCGUUUUGCUCGAUCUCCUCUCAUCCCAUAUGUUCAGGCUAAUAAUUCGAUCGACCCGGUCCGCGGUGGAACGCGACGUUAACGCGGGCAUCCAUGUGUCCGUGCCACAAGGCCGGCAAGUCGGCAACGAGCUAGCCAGCUAGCUAGCCAGGCUUGUGUGGAUCGAUCUAUCGAGCAAAGGGCGCCGGCCGGCCGUGUCGGCUGUCACCGCCAAACGUAUAGAUCGAUCUAGACGCCGCCCGCGUAUGCAUGUGCAGCUACUAGUUAGCUAGCUACGGAUCAGUCUACUGUCAUUAGCCUUUCACUUUCAAAAGAUAAAGAAAACCGUAGCAUAAUUAGCUAACUAACCACACUAAUUGGAUGGAGAAGAUUUCUGGUAUUGGUAGCUGGUACGAAGUCACACGUGCAAGCUAAUUAAGUCCAGCAGCAGUGACGCUACUCAAAUAAUAGUAUCGGUCGAGGUCGUGUGCAUGCACACAGUGUUGCAACUGUUGUUGGUGUCCAAGUGUAGCUACAGCUAUAUACACAGCUCUCCCGCUAGCUAGCUAGGAACUGCAGCUUGCAUGCUUAAUUAGACCCCGGCGUGUGAUUAUAUAUUGGUCUAGCGUACGUACGUUCGCCUUUGCGUGUUCUUUGCUCUAGCUAGCUUCGGCUCUCCUUUUCGUGUUUUCAUUACCUGGAUUAGUUGGAUUCGGUACCGUAUUCCGCAUGCACCGGCCGCUAGCACGAGGAGUACGUAGCUAGCUAGCGUGCUCGUGUGUCAGAAAACCGCCGUCGGCAAGCCACUUUUCGACAGACCAGUUUUAGUUGCUUUUCCGACAGCAUCGAUCGUGGAGAAAAGAUACAGGGGAAGAAUGGUCAAGGACUCAACGUAAUUGCAGGAUGACCAAGACCAGUCUAGCUAGCUAGCCCCUCUGGAUCGACUGAUCAAAGUGUUGAUGACAUCUCAUUCGAUCACCAACCCACGCCAAUAGACACGUUCACGCACUAUACAUAGAAACAAGGCCAACCCGUAUUAUAUACGCCUACACUUACUAGGCAUGCUCGCAAAUCUCGGCAUAGAUAUAUUCUAGAGACUUGUCAGUUUAAAUGUUUUUUGCUCAAAAUUAUAUUCGAAGACCUAGAGAAUAGCCUAAAAAGGGAACAUAUACGCACUCUUUUCCUCGAAAGAUUCCUGUGAGACUGUAAUGUGAGCCUGCUAUUAAUAAAGUAGUGUUUCUUAUAGCCAAAUUAUUAUACAUGGUAGCUAUUAUAUUACUUAAAGAUGACAUGGUAAUGCUUACAGCCAACAACAGGCUAUAGCUGUUAAUCUUGUUCUAAGGGCAUCUUCAAUAAGGGGUACUACACGGGUACCAAGAAGGUAGUAACCAAUGGGGAGGAAAUAUGAAUACCACAACUAAAUAGUGAUUUCUUAAAAAAAGUAAUAGUUACUACACGGAUAACAAGACAGAAAAGAGAAUAACAAGUGGGUCUAUCAAAAAACAAAAAAGUAAAAAAUAUUAAAAGUAGAGAAAAAAUUUAGUAUGGAGAUGCCCUAAGUAGCUCCUCCUGUCCCCGGGCCGGAAGCUAGCUGCCGGAUAAUUGAUGGCGCUUCACGUGGGGGAUCUACGUAGCUCUCGCCUCGUUUUGCUCGAUCUCCUCUCAUCCCAUAUGUUCAGGCUAAUAAUUCGAUCGACCCGGUCCGCGGUGGAACGCGACGUUAACGCGGGCAUCCAUGUGUCCGUGCCACAAGGCCGGCAAGUCGGCAACGAGCUAGCCAGCUAGCUAGCCAGGCUUGUGUGGAUCGAUCUAUCGAGCAAAGGGCGCCGGCCGGCCGUGUCGGCUGUCACCGCCAAACGUAUAGAUCGAUCUAGACGCCGCCCGCGUAUGCAUGUGCAGCUACUAGUUAGCUAGCUACGGAUCAGUCUACUGUCAUUAGCCUUUCACUUUCAAAAGAUAAAGAAAACCGUAGCAUAAUUAGCUAACUAACCACACUAAUUGGAUGGAGAAGAUUUCUGGUAUUGGUAGCUGGUACGAAGUCACACGUGCAAGCUAAUUAAGUCCAGCAGCAGUGACGCUACUCAAAUAAUAGUAUCGGUCGAGGUCGUGUGCAUGCACACAGUGUUGCAACUGUUGUUGGUGUCCAAGUGUAGCUACAGCUAUAUACACAGCUCUCCCGCUAGCUAGCUAGGAACUGCAGCUUGCAUGCUUAAUUAGACCCCGGCGUGUGAUUAUAUAUUGGUCUAGCGUACGUACGUUCGCCUUUGCGUGUUCUUUGCUCUAGCUAGCUUCGGCUCUCCUUUUCGUGUUUUCAUUACCUGGAUUAGUUGGAUUCGGUACCGUAUUCCGCAUGCACCGGCCGCUAGCACGAGGAGUACGUAGCUAGCUAGCGUGCUCGUGUGUCAGAAAACCGCCGUCGGCAAGCCACUUUUCGACAGACCAGUUUUAGUUGCUUUUCCGACAGCAUCGAUCGUGGAGAAAAGAUACAGGGGAAGAAUGGUCAAGGACUCAACGUAAUUGCAGGAUGACCAAGACCAGUCUAGCUAGCUAGCCCCUCUGGAUCGACUGAUCAAAGUGUUGAUGACAUCUCAUUCGAUCACCAACCCACGCCAAUAGACACGUUCACGCACUAUACAUAGAAACAAGGCCAACCCGUAUUAUAUACGCCUACACUUACUAGGCAUGCUCGCAAAUCUCGGCAUAGAUAUAUUCUAGAGACUUGUCAGUUUAAAUGUUUUUUGCUCAAAAUUAUAUUCGAAGACCUAGAGAAUAGCCUAAAAAGGGAACAUAUACGCACUCUUUUCCUCGAAAGAUUCCUGUGAGACUGUAAUGUGAGCCUGCUAUUAAUAAAGUAGUGUUUCUUAUAGCCAAAUUAUUAUACAUGGUAGCUAUUAUAUUACUUAAAGAUGACAUGGUAAUGCUUACAGCCAACAACAGGCUAUAGCUGUUAAUCUUGUUCUAAGGGCAUCUUCAAUAAGGGGUACUACACGGGUACCAAGAAGGUAGUAACCAAUGGGGAGGAAAUAUGAAUACCACAACUAAAUAGUGAUUUCUUAAAAAAAGUAAUAGUUACUACACGGAUAACAAGACAGAAAAGAGAAUAACAAGUGGGUCUAUCAAAAAACAAAAAAGUAAAAAAUAUUAAAAGUAGAGAAAAAAUUUAGUAUGGAGAUGCCCUAAGUAGCUCCUCCUGUCCCCGGGCCGGAAGCUAGCUGCCGGAUAAUUGAUGGCGCUUCACGUGGGGGAUCUACGUAGCUCUCGCCUCGUUUUGCUCGAUCUCCUCUCAUCCCAUAUGUUCAGGCUAAUAAUUCGAUCGACCCGGUCCGCGGUGGAACGCGACGUUAACGCGGGCAUCCAUGUGUCCGUGCCACAAGGCCGGCAAGUCGGCAACGAGCUAGCCAGCUAGCUAGCCAGGCUUGUGUGGAUCGAUCUAUCGAGCAAAGGGCGCCGGCCGGCCGUGUCGGCUGUCACCGCCAAACGUAUAGAUCGAUCUAGACGCCGCCCGCGUAUGCAUGUGCAGCUACUAGUUAGCUAGCUACGGAUCAGUCUACUGUCAUUAGCCUUUCACUUUCAAAAGAUAAAGAAAACCGUAGCAUAAUUAGCUAACUAACCACACUAAUUGGAUGGAGAAGAUUUCUGGUAUUGGUAGCUGGUACGAAGUCACACGUGCAAGCUAAUUAAGUCCAGCAGCAGUGACGCUACUCAAAUAAUAGUAUCGGUCGAGGUCGUGUGCAUGCACACAGUGUUGCAACUGUUGUUGGUGUCCAAGUGUAGCUACAGCUAUAUACACAGCUCUCCCGCUAGCUAGCUAGGAACUGCAGCUUGCAUGCUUAAUUAGACCCCGGCGUGUGAUUAUAUAUUGGUCUAGCGUACGUACGUUCGCCUUUGCGUGUUCUUUGCUCUAGCUAGCUUCGGCUCUCCUUUUCGUGUUUUCAUUACCUGGAUUAGUUGGAUUCGGUACCGUAUUCCGCAUGCACCGGCCGCUAGCACGAGGAGUACGUAGCUAGCUAGCGUGCUCGUGUGUCAGAAAACCGCCGUCGGCAAGCCACUUUUCGACAGACCAGUUUUAGUUGCUUUUCCGACAGCAUCGAUCGUGGAGAAAAGAUACAGGGGAAGAAUGGUCAAGGACUCAACGUAAUUGCAGGAUGACCAAGACCAGUCUAGCUAGCUAGCCCCUCUGGAUCGACUGAUCAAAGUGUUGAUGACAUCUCAUUCGAUCACCAACCCACGCCAAUAGACACGUUCACGCACUAUACAUAGAAACAAGGCCAACCCGUAUUAUAUACGCCUACACUUACUAGGCAUGCUCGCAAAUCUCGGCAUAGAUAUAUUCUAGAGACUUGUCAGUUUAAAUGUUUUUUGCUCAAAAUUAUAUUCGAAGACCUAGAGAAUAGCCUAAAAAGGGAACAUAUACGCACUCUUUUCCUCGAAAGAUUCCUGUGAGACUGUAAUGUGAGCCUGCUAUUAAUAAAGUAGUGUUUCUUAUAGCCAAAUUAUUAUACAUGGUAGCUAUUAUAUUACUUAAAGAUGACAUGGUAAUGCUUACAGCCAACAACAGGCUAUAGCUGUUAAUCUUGUUCUAAGGGCAUCUUCAAUAAGGGGUACUACACGGGUACCAAGAAGGUAGUAACCAAUGGGGAGGAAAUAUGAAUACCACAACUAAAUAGUGAUUUCUUAAAAAAAGUAAUAGUUACUACACGGAUAACAAGACAGAAAAGAGAAUAACAAGUGGGUCUAUCAAAAAACAAAAAAGUAAAAAAUAUUAAAAGUAGAGAAAAAAUUUAGUAUGGAGAUGCCCUAAGUAGCUCCUCCUGUCCCCGGGCCGGAAGCUAGCUGCCGGAUAAUUGAUGGCGCUUCACGUGGGGGAUCUACGUAGCUCUCGCCUCGUUUUG
rnacentral:lncRNA from 1 species